rnacentral:misc_RNA from 1 species
AUACCCUCAAGUAUAACUUGGUGUUGGGUGAAGUCCCUUUAGGGACCCACCCCUAACUUGUAGGCGGUUAUCGCCCAAUUCCCCCAGCGUAGCAGGCUAACGCACUCGCUUUGGGAUAGGCGAUUUGACUCGCUAAAUAAAAACCUUCUUUCAAAG